GUUGUCGAACCAGAUCAGAACGCCUUCGAGGACCACCUAAAUGCACGGACUGAGAAGGAUGUGGAGGUUUUUGACCAGGCAAAAAUGAUUGUCAGCUGUUAAUUUAUUUUCUGGCACUCCAAGAGAUAUGUAUUUGUAAUAUGAAAUAUAAUUGCAUUUAUUCCUGUUAUCAAUCAAGGUGAGACUGAACAUGGACAAGGCGCAGGAGAAACCGAAGGAGAGCCACUGGAGGAGAAUCAAGAAGGGGACCAAGUGCUUCGACAUCCGGGCUAAUUACUUGGUUUGGAAGAAGGACGAAAGGAAGGCGAGACCUGGGAAACCUUGCUGCUCUUUCGCUCCUAGCUGGGGUCACCAUCUGUUAAGGAUUACCUCAGUCGAAGCCAACAAUCUUCUCCAGUUGGAGCAGUUGGACGGUCGACCAUUGAAAGCCCUGAUGCCCUACACUUCGGUGAAGCCCAAUUGACAAAGACCAUCGACUGUCCGAGCCCCCCAGGAGGUAUCCCAUCCACCCGACUCAGUGAGUUUGGAUCAGUCUGAUUCUCUGUGCUCUGAGUCCGAGGGGGACCAGCUUGAGGACCUAGGGGUUCUGCCUAACACCCAGACAUGGAUCCACCUGAUGUCCUCCAUUACCAAACACCCUCCAACUUUUCAUUACAUCAUCUACAGAUACUGUUAUUGUCAUGUUGUCAUUAUCUGCUAAGAAAGUUUUCUUGCUCUAUCAUACUGGGCACAUAAUAUGUAAUAUACACAGAUUAACUAAAAACACUAGCACUGCAAACACUCAGAACAAAGAGAGCAGCAGUGCCUGCAGUCUCCCAUUUCAA